rnacentral:rRNA from 1 species
UGGGGAAUAUUGCACAAUGGGCGCAAGCCUGAUGCAGCCAUGCCGCGUGUAUGAAGAAGGCCUUCGGGUUGUAAAGUACUUUCAGCGGGGAGGAAGGGAGUAAAGUUAAUACCUUUGCUCAUUGACGUUACCCGCAGAAGAAGCACCGGCUAACUCCGAGCCAGCAGCCGCGGUAAUACGGAGGGUGCAAGCGUUAAUCGGAAUUACUGGGCGUAAAGCGCACGCAGGCGGUUUGUUAAGUCAGAUGUGAAAUCCUCGGGCUGAACCUGGGAACUGCAUCUGAUACUGGCAAGCUUGAGUCUCGUAGAGGGGGGUAGAAUUCCAGGUGUAGCGGUGAAAUGCGUAGAGAUCUGGAGGAAUACCGGUGGCGAAGGCGGCCCCCUGGACGAAGACUGACGCUCAGGUGCGAAAGCGUGGGGAGCAAACAGG